UUCCGGUUGAUCCUGCCGGACCCGACUGCUAUUUGGGUGAGGAUAAGCCAUGCGAGUCGAAUGGGAUACCUAAAUUUCCCAUGGCAGACUGCUCAAUAACACAUGAUCAACUUACCCUAUAGAGAAAAAUAACCUCGGGAAACUGAGGAUAAUGUUUCAUAGUUGAAAAGGCUUGGAAAAGUUUUUCGACCAAAAGGAUAAGAAAAAUGGUUUUUAUCCGCUAUAGGAUAGGAUCGUGGUCGAUUAUGGUCGUUGGUGAGGUAAUGGCUCACCAAGCCGAUAAUCGAUAGGGGCCGUGAGAGCGGGAGCCCCGAGAUGGGUACUGAGACAACGACCCAGGUCUUACGAGACGCAGCAGGCGCGGAACCUCAGCAAUACACGAAAGUGUGACUGGGUUACCCAAAGUGUUCAAUUUUGAACUGUGGUAGGUGAGUAAUGUCCCCUACUAGAAAGGAGAGGGCAAGGCUGGUGCCAGCCGCCGCGGUAAAACCAGCUCUUCAAGUGGUCGGGAUAAUUAUUGGGCUUAAAGUGUCCGUAGCCGGUUUAGUAAGUUCCUGGUAAAAUCGGGUAGCUUAACUAUCUGCAUGCUAGGAAUACUGCUAUACUAGAGGGCGGGAGAGGUCUGAGGUACUACAGGGGUAGGGGUGAAAUCUUAUAAUCCUUGUAGGACCACCAGUGGCGAAGGCGUCAGACUGGAACGUGCCUGACGGUGAGGGACGAAAGCCAGGGGAGCGAACCGGAUUAGAUACCCGGGUAGUCCUGGCCGUAAACGAUGCAUACUAGGUGAUGGCAUGGCCAUGAGCCGUGUCAGUGCCGUAGGGAAACCGUUAAGUGUGCCGCCUGGGAAGUACGGUCGCAAGGCUAAAACUUAAAGGAAUUGGCGGGGGAGCACCACAAGGGGUGAAGCCUGCGGUUCAAUUGGAUUCAACGCCGGGAAUCACUAGUGCGGC
rnacentral:rRNA from 1 species